AGAGCGAACGCUGGCGGCAGGCCUAACACAUGCAAGUCGAGCGCCCCGCAAGGGGAGCGGCAGACGGGAGAGUAACACGUGGGAACGUACCCUUCAGUUCGGAACAACCCAGGGAAACUUGGGCUAAUACCGGAUACGUCCGUAAGGAGAAAGAUUUAUCGCUGAAGGAUCGGCCCGCGUCUGAUUAGCUAGUUGGUGGGGUAACGGCUCACCAAGGCGACGAUCAGUAGCUGGUCUGAGAGGAUGAUCAGCCUCACUGGGACUGAGACACGGCCCAGACUCCUACGGGAGGCAGCAGUGGGGAAUAUUGGACAAUGGGCGCAAGCCUGAUCCAGCCAUGCCGCGUGGGUGAUGAAGGCCCUAGGGUUGUAAAGCCCGUUUCGGCGGGGAAGAUAAUGACGGUACCGCAGAAGAGCCCGGCUAACUUCGUGCCAGCAGCCGC
rnacentral:rRNA from 1 species